rnacentral:rRNA from 1 species
AGCGAACGCUGGCGGCAGGCUUAACACAUGCAAGUCGAACGGGCAUCUUCGGAUGUCAGCGGCAGACGGGUGAGUAACCCGUGGGAACGUACCCUUCGGUUCGGAACAACUCUGGGAAACUGGAGCUAAUACCGGAUACGCCCUUAUGGGGAAAGGUUUACUGCCGAAGGAUCGGCCCGCGUCUGAUUAGCUAGUUGGUGGGGUAACGGCCUACCAAGGCGACGAUCAGUAGCUGGUCUGAGAGGAUGAUCAGCCACACUGGGACUGAGACACGGCCCAGACUCCUACGGGAGGCAGCAGUGGGGAAUAUUGGACAAUGGGCGCAAGCCUGAUCCAGCCAUGCCGCGUGAGUGAUGAAGGCCUUAGGGUUGUAAAGCUCUUUUGUCCGGGACGAUAAUGACGGUACCGGAAGAAUAAGCCCCGGCUAACUUCGUG